rnacentral:rRNA from 1 species
UACGUAGGGUGCAAGCGUUAAUCGGAAUUACUGGGCGUAAAGCGUGCGCAGGCGGUUUUGUAAGUUUGUCGUGAAAGCCCCGGGCUCAACCUGGGAAUUGCGAUGAAGACUGCAAGGCUUGAAUCUGGCAGAGGGGGGGUAGAAUUCCACGUGUAGCAGUGAAAUGCGUAGGGAUGUGGAGGAACACCGAUGGCGAAGGCAGCCCCCUGGGUCAAGAUUGACGCUCAUGCACGAAAGCGUGGGGAGCAAACGAGG